rnacentral:tRNA from 1 species
GCGGUUGUAGCUCAGUAGAAUAGAGCAUUUGUCUACGAAACAAAAGGCCGCAGGUUUGAGUCCUGCCAACCGCACCA